UCAGUUUUACUAGCCCACUUGUGCCUGUUCAUUACAGCAUCUAUUCUCUCAUUGCUUGUGAGAGGUCUAAAAAAAAAGGUCUAGCUUCGCAACUGUUGAGCGUCAUGAAUAUUCAUGACUUUCCUCUGUUUUGUUGCAGAUUAAGGCAGAAGAGUUUAAAUGUUUCGACGCUCUCAAUUAAAGUAAGGUCGCUCACGGAGAAACAACAAAGAGUUUCAUCAAACAUUAUGGCUCCUUGGAACAUCAUAAGAUAUUUCUGAAG